UGUCUGCCGCGGCGAUUUAGUUCAGUUUGAGACGCUUGGUGAGUUGGAUGUGCGCGCGUAUGAAAUUCACGUCACGUCCGAGACAACACAACAGUCAAUCUAACUUACACGGGUGCGGGCUAAAUGCAUUGAAGCGGAUGUUUUUGUGUCGCGCUAAACAACAACUAAAACGCCAAUAAAUAUGAAAAUGAGACUUGCCUUUAAUACUGUGCGCGCUCACCGUUACAUUUCGUUUUGUGAAAGAAAUUUCUUCUAAUUUCUGUAAGCGAAUUCUUCAUGAAGCAGCGAAGUUGUUGCGCAGACAGGAAGCUAGUGAAUGUUGCUGACAUUGUUGUUGUUUAUUGCUAUAGUUAUAAUUGUUGUUAUUGUUGCUUGUGGCUGUUGAGACACUCGCCACUCGCCCAGCUGUGUCGCAUCGCUUGUCUGGCGGCUGCUGAGUGCCAAAGUGGCGUGCAGAUUUACGAAAUUGUAGGAUUUUUGUUUAUUUUUAGACGCUGCGCGAAAGCAGCGAGAAAUCAACGAAGGCAACACGAAUGAGUGACACAAAAGUGAAGGCACAUAUAAAAACAAAAGCAGAAAAUGCUACAUAGAAUGUAUUAUGAAGUAGCGCAGACCAAGAAAUGAGCAACGCAGAAUAUAGGAUGUGGCAGACAGAGCAAAACAUUAGGCGUAAGGACGGUAGCUAAGAAAUGAAUGAAAGAAUAAUAACAGAGCGACACGAUCGAUUCACUAAAUGGAGUUUAGCAGCUAGCUUAGUUUUACUUAGUUUAGUGCAGGAUGCUGUUCUGGAUCUGGAUGGAUCUUUUUUGUCUAAAAGUUCUGCUUUCCUGCUGUUUUUUAAUAAAAAGGAAAUGUCGUUACUCUGCACAUACAUAUGUCUAAAACACAAAUUUCACAUUUUAAUGAUUACUAAAAUAAAUACAACAACAAUGACACACGCUUGGCGCCAAAGGCUGCGUGAUUUCGUAAAAAUAAGAAUGAGUUAAUGCAAAAGGUAUAAAAAAUGAGCUGAUAAUCAAAAUUACUUGGCGUAAACAAUGAAAGCAACAAUAACAACAACCUUACACGUGAUAAUAAAACAACCGAAUAAGCACAAAACAACAACAAUUGGCAUAUUCGCACGCACAAUCACGGCGAGGCAUUGACAAAGCGUCAAGUGUUUGCCGGCUUAAAAAGAAAUGGAAAUAAAUUCCAAAAAAAAAAUCGAAAAAAAUAAAAUAAAAAAUGAUAUGAAGGGAAUUUGGCAAUAAUUUAAAGUUACAAAGUGUGGCAUUAGUCAAAUUCAAAACAAAACAAUACAAAUUUGAAUGUAAAUCCUUCUUUGUAGGUUUUAUAGAUUUUUAACAACGUUUUCGUAAAAAAGAUACUCAAAAAAACGGCGGCUAAUCUCUAAUAAUAAUGGCAUUAAAACGUCUAUAGCCGACAGUGUUAGAUAAAAGAUCAGCAUACAAGUACAAAAAAUAAUAAAAAAUUACAAAUAAAAAAAUCUGAAAUUUCGUGAGGAAAUUUGUGAAAGAAAUCGAUAAAAAAAUACUCCAGCUACUUUUAGUAGCGUUUUUUUAAUAUAAUAUAAUACUUGUGUGUUGGUGUGUGAGCAGCGAAAGAUACCUGCCAAGUGCAAGUGUACUUGAAAAAAUUGUGAAGGAACGCAUGCGCAACCCCCAAAUGGCUGCGCUUUUGCUGUUGCAAGGGUUAAUUGAAACAUUAUCAAACGUAGCAGAAAAACAGUGAAAUAUUUUGCAGUUAAAGUGCCACAAACCUACAGCGAAAGUAUUGCAGGCUUGCAAAACAACGCAGCAGCGUAAACAAGGACUUGAAAAACUUAUUAAGGAUCGUACGAUUCGAACAGCCGGUUGUUAAUCUUAGCCAAAAGUAACUCAACUAGUAUGUGUUCUCAGCAUUUCUGCAGCUAAACGUGUACUCACACUGUGCAAUAGUAACAACUACAGCGAUCGAUCGGUUUUAAAAAAUAAUACCAAGCCUUAUACAUCCGGUUUUAGAGCACCAGUUUGGCGUUGGGCCAUGGCGAAUCACGCAACAUUCUCAUCUGCUACAACAUCAGGAAUAACUGGCUCUUGGCAGCUGUCAUUCUUGUUGAGUUUACUUAUAUGUAAUCAACUAAAGCUAUCCGCGGCAUCACAAUCCUCGUCACUGGGUGUACACAUUGUGCGUUCUCCCGAAUCAGCAGUGGCGCCCAAAGGUGACGAGGUUGUUUUUGAGUGCGAAUUAAAUUUGGCUCCCGACCGCUUGGAAUGGCGGUUCCGUCACACCAGCGCACGUGCCACGGACGCUAUGAACUACAAUUAUCUUCAUGGCGGCGAGGAUGGACACAAUAUUGUAAAUGAAAACCUGACAUCUCGUUUGCGUGUAUUUGUCUCGUCCGAAACUUUGGGUGACUACCAAUGUGUGGCCUGGGUCGGAUCGGCCGCAAUUGCUUCCACACCUGCGCGGCUGACACUCGUAUCCAUAAGCAUCGACAACUCGAACGGUUAUAGUCGCAAUGCAAUACGCUGGAGCGUAGCGCCAAAGAAUUGCAUAUUAAUACGUUGCGGCACAGUGAGUUCGAAUCCGCCAGCGGUGUGGAGCUUCUUCCGCAACGGCGAGAAAGUGCCACAGACCGAGGUGUUGCCCUCAGCAAAUGGAGCGCUCAUACUAAACACAGUGUCAUCAAAAGAUUCCGGUAACUACACUUGCUCGGCGAUGAACGCCAUCACUGGCGUGGAGGUGAGAUUGCCACAACGUAUAGACUUGCGCGUCGAUUAUAUUGAUCGCACGCCGCCCUACUUCCUUAAUGUGCCAGUGUCACAAGUGACGGCGCGUCCGGGCGAAACAGCCGUACUCGAAUGCCCAGGUGUCGGUUCGCCACCACCGGAGGCCGUUUGGAGCAGCCCGAAUGUAAUUAACAUCUACAACAAUCGAACAAAAGUGUUGCCGUACGGUUUGCAGAUAUCUGAUGUGAUGCCCGAGGAUCAGGGUUCGUACGUGUGUCGCUUAGACAAUGGUAUUGCACCUGCUUUGGUGCAAAUUAUAAAAUUUAUUGUCUUGGAAGCGCCACAAAUACUGCGUGGCCCAGCAAAGACACGAACAAAUGAAGGCGAUCAGCUUGAAUUGGAAUGCUCGGCAGCCGGCAAUCCUUUCCCCCAGAUCUAUUGGUUAAUUAAUGGCGAAGACACUUCUUUGGAUAACGAGACCUUUCAUGAAGACCGUCGUUUGGUUAUCCGGCAUGUACAGAAGCGCCAUGCGGGCAUCGUGCAGUGUUUUGCAAAGAACGAAGUGGGCGAGGUAAGCGACGGCAGUUACUUGGAAGUGAACCCGAAGCAAAUACAGGGCGAAGACUCAGCUCCUCUAGGCUCCGUGCCAAUACGCAUGCCUUAUGAGCACACCGGCAACAAAAACAAGGGCAAACGGAAACACAUGAAAACACUCAACAUGAUUCCUCCCUCUCGUCCCAACGUGACGCGACUGUCCGACGAUUCGGUCAUGUUGCGCUGGUAUGUGCCAAAGAACGACGGGCUGCCCAUACAGUUUUUCAAGGUGCAGUAUCGCAUGCUCGGUGACUCGAGCCGCAAAAUACCGCGCGAAAAUUGGCAGACCACAAACGAAGACAUACCAUACGGUAAACGCGACCGUGUUUUUGAAGGCGUGAAGAAUUUCACCUCAUCGGUAUCCGGCUUGAAACCUGACCGAUUCUACCGUUUCCGCAUCAUCGCCGUUUACUCGAACAACGACAAUAAGGAGGGCAACACUUCAGCGAAGUUCUUUUUGCAAAGUAGCGAAGCUUUAGGCCCCACCAAAGCCACUUUGCCCGCGCCAGAGCUGUUGCGCGUGGAGCCGCUUUCAGAGACUGCAGUUAUGAUACAUUGGACGCUGCCGGCGAAUCCGAUAAACGUGCCGGAUGGUUUUUACGCCUACUACCGGCUCGCCUCUUCAGCGGGCGAAUACCUCAAAGCGACUGUAGACGGUCAACAUACACGGAAAUUUAAGAUCGACUUGUUGGAAGCGGGCACCGCCUACGAGUUCAAGCUGCAGUCCUUUAAUGCACUGGCUGCGUCUGAGUUCAGCGCUAUAUUGCAGGGCAAAACGAAGAAAGUGGCAACCACACCAAUGCCUGUGCCAGCAGUCACGCCUAUAAACACCAAGGAGCACGACAAGCCGAAAUAUCCGAUAGUGGCGGGCAUCGCCGGCUGCGGUAUACUCCUCAUCGUAGCCAUAGUCGCUGCCUUCCUGUGCAUGAAGCGACGCAGUCCGGCGACACCAGAAGAUGAAGACAAACCACAGCUAGACCACAUACAGGCCGAUUUUGUGACACCCUCAGUGCUGGGCGUGGCGGCGCAUCACAAGUCCGGUCACCGUCUCAACGGCGUCAUACCGCGCAUGAACAUCACGCCCAAUCCGUUGGCGCAGGAAGCCGACAAGGCACAUCUGGGCUCGCAUCAGGGCCUACACCACGCACAGCCAUACCAUCCACCGCCGCCCGGCACGCCCACACUAAUGCACAAACGCGGCGACUACAUGCCACACCAUCAUCAUCAUGCCAACGCAUCGGCUGCCGGCCAACAUCCGCCGCCGGUGCCACCACACCAGAACAACAACCACAGCGGCCACCACAACGCGCACCAUCUGUACCAGCAACACCAGCAGCAGCAUGCGCAGGCGCAAUCGCCGCAGACGCCCGCCAUGGAGCAACAGCGCCGCACACUGGAGCGCAGUGCGCGCAAUCUGCACUACACGGCGACCGCGGUGCCGGCGAACGCGACGCAGCCACACGACGCGGCCAUGAACAUCGAUGGCCUGCCCACGCGCAUACCGUCGCUGCGCCGCACACGACGCUCCUCCGGCAACACCAACAACAACAACGGCGGCGUAGGCAUACCCAUCGUGCCGGGUAGUCCGCGCGUGCAGCGCUCGCCGAUGCCAGCGCGCGCCAUGAUGAAGCGCGGUCGACUGGGCAGCCACAACGACAACAUGUCCUCGGGCAGUUUGAACAGUAUUGAGGUGUAGGCGGCAAACAGGUAUUGGGGAUGCGUGCGCUUCGUAUAAGUAGUGUUAAGCUCUAGUAUAGUAGGGGAGGCUAGCAAGUAUGCAACUAUCUAGACACAGACAUAGGUCUAGGGAGUACAACGGUACUUCAGUGGGUAUUGUUUAAAUUGUUUAAAAUUAAAUUUCGUUAUACAACUUAGAAUAAGUCAACUGAUUGCAGUCUUGAUUGACUUAAAUUGUAAAUAUUUAUUGCUAGAACUGCGUCAGACUUUUCUAGACCAGUCUAGGAAACAGUUAGAACUAAGACAAAAUGUAUGGCAUAGUUUUAAGUAAUAUCUCGAAUAUGCAAGUAAGUAACUCGAAAAACUCGAUUAUCUGCAUACUUUUAGGCUGAGUUCCUUAUAGUGCCUUGUUAUGUAACACUUAGUAAUACCACAUAAAGACUUAACGGAACUAACUCCAAUGACAGUUGUAGUUGUAUUAGCUUUGAAUACGAAAUGACAUCCACUAGUAAUAUGACUAACUUAAACUAACUAAUUAGUUUGGCGUUAACUCCGUCCUGCAGGGCUAACAAGAAGUAAGAUAAAAUAUAUUGAAAAAAAA
rnacentral:lncRNA from 1 species